UACAGAGGUCUCAAGCGUUUAAUCGGAAUCACUGGGCUUAAAGGGUGCGUAGGCGGACUCGCAAGUGCUUUGUGAAAUCCCACGGCUCAACCGUGGAACGGCUUGGCAGACUGCGGGUCUGAGGUUGGUAGGGGCCGCCGGAACUCUAGGUGGAGCGGUGAAAUGCGUAGAUAUCUAGAGGAACGCCAAAGGUGAAGAACAGGCGGCGUGGGCCAAUUCUGACGCUGAGGCACGAAAGCGUGGGUAGCGAACGGG
rnacentral:rRNA from 1 species